CCCUUGUUGUAAUACUUGGCUACUCUCCGUUGAUAAGCUGCUAACUUGAUCAAAGCCACCUCUCUGACUUCUUCCAACAGAUCCAAGUUGACCUUCAGUCCUUCAUCAUUGUAGAUCUCUUUGAACUGACUAACCCGAAGACUUGGAGAUCCAAUCUCAACUGGGACUAAGGCAUCAGUGCCAUAAGCCAAUCUGAAAGGUGAAUCCCCUGUGGUAGUCCUCGGUG
rnacentral:lncRNA from 1 species